UACUGCUUCUUCCUGCAUUCUCUGGGAAAAAGUCCCUUUUUUGCCAUAUUUACUGCCUCUGUUUGUCCUUCAGCGAUACAAUAAAAACUGCUUCUUCCUGCAUUCUCUGGGAAAAAGUACCUUUUUUGCCAUAUUUACUGCCUCUGUUUGUCCUUCAGCGAUACAAUAAAGACUGCUUCUUCCUGCAUUCUCUGGGAAAAAGUCCCUUUUUUGCCGUAUUUACUGCCUCUGUUUGUCCUUCAGCGAUACAAUAAAGACUGCUUCUUCCUGCAUUCUCUGGGAAAAAGUCCCUUUUUUGCCAUAUUUACUGCCUCUGUUUGUCCUUCAGCGAUACAAUAAAGACUGCUUCUUCCUGCAUUCUCUGGGAAAAAGUCCCUUUUUUGCCAUAGUAAGAAAACCCUUUUUUUAUUAAUUAAACAAGUUUAAAUUUUUGAUUUUUUUUUAAAUUUUUGAUUUAAUGAUUUUUUGUCCAUGAUUUAUCUUAUAGAGACAUAAAACCAGUUUAAUUUUCUUUUUACAGUUACUGCCACCCUUGUUCUGUCUCAGAGAGGCAAGACUACUUCUUUCAUAAUUCACCGGAAGAAAAAGCCUAUUUUACAUCUGAGUUGUAAUUAUUUAAACAAAAAUUGUAAAUUCAUUAUUAAUUUAAUUUAAAAAAUUAUUUCUGCUACUCGUGUACACUUUUUAAAUCUGUUUUAGUAUCUAAAUGCUUUAUUGCGACUGUGCGAGAUAAAGUUGAAAUCCAUAGCAGCAACAAAAAAACUGGUUCCUUCCUUAAUGGAAGAAACUGCUAAAGAAAACAAGGAAAAAUUGAGUUUAGAAAAUUGUAUUAACUCUUUGGGUCAGAUUCAAAUGAGUAAUUUUAAGAUUUUGUAUAGGAAUUUUAGUUUUUAGUAUAAGCAUUUAUUUUUGUUAAUUUUCAUCUAAUCUCUUCUAUUAUGCACAAUAACUAUAUAUGAGGCAAACAAAUUAAUAAAUAUUACA